UAUUUUAGUGAAUAUCCACUGGCGUCCAUCAUCAAAAGCCCCACGACCAGAACCCCUUAAUUUUCGGACAUUUCCCGGGCACCCAUCAGCGAGAGUAUUCUGUUACAAAAGUCGACUACUAAUUAAAUAAUUUAUCACGUUAUAAUAUUAUGUGUUCCUGUGAACGUCACAUACGGUAAGCUAAAUCUUGCUCUGCUGGUUCGUGUCCAGUUAAUUUUACUGUGUGAAAAUCUCCUU